rnacentral:lncRNA from 1 species
UGUAGUCAGCAAAUUGCACAGCUGGACUUGGCAGCGCUCCUGCUACUGCAGUAUGCAUACAUAGUUAAACUUCUGUGUGUGUGUUUAUAUGUCUUUUAGCGCGUUUGCAGGCAGUCUACAACGCUAAUGGAAAGGAUUUUCAUCAGGAACAAUGGUUGUACAAUGGUUGUUGCUGAUAACUUCAAGGCUUUAAAGAGCCACGAGGAUCUUUGUAGCUUGCAUGGGUGACGAUGACACAACUGCAAAGUGAAGCGAGGAUACAAUAAAAGGCUACUUCUUACCAUAUAAGUGAUGGCAUUAAGAUACAAAUCGUUAUAAAAAGUCAUUUGCGGAACCCAUAUAUA